rnacentral:rRNA from 1 species
AUUGAACGCUGGCGGCAUGCCUUACACAUGCAAGUCGAACGGUAACAGGUCUUCGGAUGCUGACGAGUGGCGAACGGGUGAGUAAUACAUCGGAACGUGCCCAAUCGUGGGGGAUAACGCAGCGAAAGCUGUGCUAAUACCGCAUAAGAUCUACGGAUGAAAGCGGGGGGAUCGCAAGACCUCGCGCGAGUGGAGCGGCCGAUGGCAGAUUAGGUAGUUGGUGAGGUAAAGGCUCACCAAGCCUGCGAUCUGUAGCUGGUCUGAGAGGACGACCAGCCACACUGGAACUGAGACACGGUCCAGACUCCUACGGGAGGCAGCAGUGGGGAAUUUUGGACAAUGGGCGCAAGCCUGAUCCAGCAAUGCCGCGUGAGUGAUGAAGGCCUUAGGGUUGUAAAGCUCUUUUACCCGGGAUGAUAAUGACAGUACCGGGAGAAUAAGCUCCGGCUAACUCCGUGCCAGCAGCCGCGGU